rnacentral:tRNA from 1 species
CAAGGGGUUCGGAAUAGGCCUGUUCUCAGGCUCAUAACCUGAAGGUCGUAGGUUCAAAUCCUACCCCCGCAACCA